AAAAAUAAAAAAAAUCCCUAAAAAUUUAAAAAAAAAAUCCAAAAAUUAUCCCAAAUUUGCCAUAAAUCUCAUUAAUUCUGGGAAUAUCAAAAAUCAAAAAAAAUCCCUAAAAAAUAAAAAAAAAAAUUCCCCCAAAAAAUCCCAUAAAUCCCAAAUUUCCCCCUAAAUCCCAUUAAUUUUGGAAAGCUCAAAAAUCCCAUAAAUUCCCUGAAAUUCCAAAAUCCCCACAAACCCUAAAAUCCCAAUACUGGUCCAUACUGGUUUAUACUGGUUUAUCCCAGUCCAUACCAGUCCAUACUGGUUAAUACUGGUCUGUACUGGUCCUUACUGGUUUAUACUGGUCCACACUGGUCCACACCGAUCCGUACUGGUCCGUACUGGUUUGUACUGGUUUAUCCCAGUCCAUACUGGUCUGUACUGGUUUAUACUGGUCCAUACUGGCCCAUACUGGUUUAUACUGGUAUAUCCCAGUCCAUACUGCUCCAUACUUCUCCAUACUGGUCCAUACUGGUUUAUACCAGUCCAUACCGGUCCAUACUGGUUUAUCCCAGUCCGUACUGGUUUGUACUGGUCCAUACUGGCCCGUUCUGGUCCGUACUGGUUUGUACUGGUUUAUCCCAGUCCGUACUGGUUUGUACUGGUUUGUACUGGUCCAUACCGGUCCAUACCGGUCCAUACUGGUUUAUACUGGUCCAUACUGGUCCAUACCGGUCCAUUCUGGUCCAUACUGGUCCGUACCGGUCCAUACUGGUCCAUACUGGUCCAUACUGGUCCAUACCGGUCCAUACCGGUCUGUACUGGUCCAUACCGGUCCAUACUGGUCCAUACUGGUCCAUACUGGUCCAUACUGGUCCGUACCGGUCCAUACUGGUCCAUACCGGUCUGUACUGGUCCAUACCGGUCCGUACUGGUCCAUACCAGUCCAUACUGGUCCAUACUGGUCCAUACCGGUCCAUACCGGUCUGUACUGGUCCAUACCGGUCCGUACUGGUCCAUACCAGUCCAUACCAGUCCAUACUGGUCCAUACUGGUCCAUACUGGUCCAUACCGGUCCAUACUGGUCCAUACCGGUCCGUACUGGUCCAUACUGGUCCGUACUGGUCCAUACCAGUCCAUACUGGUCCAUACUGGUCCAUACCGGUCCGUACCGGUCCAUACCGGUCCAUACUGGUCCGUACUGGUCCAUACUGGUCCGUACCGGUCCAUACUGGUCCGUACUGGUCCAUACUGGUCCAUACUGGUCCAUACUGGAUUUUAUUGGUCCAUACUGGUUUAUACUGGUUUGUAAUGAUCCAUACUGCUCCAUAUGGUCCAUACUGGUCCAUACUGGUUUACACUGGUCCGUACCGGUCCAUACCGGUCCAUACUGGUCCAUACUGGUUUAUCCCAGUCCAUACCGGUCCAUACUGUUCCAUACUGGUCCAUACUGGUUUAUCCCAGUCCAUACCAGUCCAUACCGGUCCAUACCGGUCCGUACCGGAUUAUACCGGUCCAUACUGGUUUAUACUGGUCCAUACUGGUUUAUACUGGUCCAUACUGGUUUAUACUGGUCCA
ensembl:lncRNA